GGGGAGGCGGUGGUUGGGGUGGAUCAGUUGUUUGAUUUUACUUAGCCGUUCAGUCAGUGGGUUUUGUUUUUGUUGUUAAACAUAUGCUUUUCUGAGGUUUGUGUUACUAACCAUCGCCCUUCCCACCUCACAGAAUGUCAUGUUAAAGCCCAGGCAAAUUCUACUCUUUCUGUUCAUCUGUGUAGGGAACUCUCAACUUUGGUGGGAUCAGGGUGGGCAACGGACCGACAGAGGAGGAUGCUGAGAUUAUUCAGCAUGACCAGCUCUCCACCCACUCAGAGGACGCAGACGAGUUCGACUUUGGGGACACCAUGGUCCACCAGGCCAUCCACACCAUCGAGUACUGCCUGGGCUGCAUCUCCAACACUGCCUCCUACUUGCGGCUCUGGGCCCUCAGCCUUGCUCAUGCGCAGCUGUCUGAGGUGCUUUGGACCAUGGUGAUCCACAUCGGCCUGAGCGUGAAGAGCUUGGCGGGAGGUUUGGUGCUGUUCUUCUUCUUCACUGCCUUUGCCACCCUGACCGUGGCCAUCCUCCUGAUCAUGGAGGGCCUCUCGGCCUUUCUCCACGCACUGCGCUUACACUGGGUUGAGUUCCAGAAUAAAUUCUACAGCGGGACCGGUUUCAAGUUCUUACCCUUCUCCUUCGAGCAUAUUCGGGAAGGGAAGUUUGAAGAGUGAGUCCCUGUGAGGGCCGUGUGCCCCAUGCUACCCUCCCCGCCUCCCUCCACAGUGAUCAGCUGUGCCUCUCUGCCUGUUGGUUGUGAUCUUGGGCACCAGCUCAUUCGUGUCACCCUGUCUGUGAGUCAUUUAGAUAGAAUAGUCCUCCUUGGGUCUCCCACCACCCCUAGCUUUGUGUGUAGUGUAGUGAUUUUCUGGCUGUCACUCAAACUCACUGGGCACCAGCCUUGCCCUCUUAGCCUCCAUCCAUCCAGACAGCCCUUCCCACCUCCUGGUGGUGAGCCAGUCUGCAUUCCCACGCCAUCCCAAAGCCCUUUCAUCUUCCCUGUGCAUUGUAGAUGGAAGGAGCACCCAUGCCAUUCACAUCUAGACUUUGAGUUCCCUGCAUCUGCCACCGUAGUUUCUAGCAGGAGUAGUGGGGGGAGUAAUACGGAUUCUUCCCUAGAAGGGGACACUGGUAACAUGUCCCACUCUUGGAUUAGCAGGGGUGGGUCCAGGAAGAUGAUAUUUGCGUCUUUUGCCCACCCCCCUCUCGUGCUUGUUAAUCAGGCAUUCAGCUGGACCCAACUAGGCCAUCAUGAGUGGCUUCUCCCUGUCAUCCCCAGGGGUCAUAGGAUAUCUACACCUCCUUUCUGACCCCACCCUGCACUCCCAUCCUUUCCUCUCUCCCCGUUCAUGCCCUGUACUACAUAGCACAGCCGGGAUGCUUGGAACAGAGGCCUUGGCUGCUCCGCAGUGCACAGGGCUUCCCUCUCUCGGGGUUGGCUUCUUCCCAGGCCUUGCAUGGGCCCUGCCCACAAGCACACCCUCAGGCCGAGGGUGCAGACUGAUGCUCUUCCCUGGUGGAGACCCUGAGAUCUUCCCCACCCCCAAUCAUGAUGUCUUCAAUGUGGGACUGGGGUCCUCUUGGUUCUGCCUGCAGCCUGCCUGGCUCCGCCCCUAGUGCCCCCUCCUCACCACACUGGCCCCAGGUCUCAGGAGGGGUGUCCUGGGCAGGGAAGGUCAGUGUCACUGAUGGUUUGCUGUUUGGAAGCCAUUGGCAGGGCUGCCGUGCAUGUGGCUGUGAGGGCUGCACAGUCCUGCCAAGGGGCUUCCUCCUUGUCACCCCGAACCUUGUAAUCGUGUGCUGGCGUGGCAGCCCUGGCUAAGUUAAUCCCCACCGCUUUCAGUGGUAGAAAGAAUUCCCUGAGUGGGCCAGGCUGGUGCCCUCCUCCUACCCUGGCUUUUCUGAGUGAGCUGCCUGGAGCCCUCAUCCCCUCUCCCAGGCUGGGCUGGCCCUGGGCGGGGCCACUGUGUGCUGGCCCACUGUGACCUGACCCGACCUUGUGCAGCCCCCCUGCCCUGGUGUCCUGGGUUUUCGUGAUGAUCUUUGCUCUGUUUCCAGUGGGGUUUGAAGCAGAGUUCAGGGAACCCUGCCCAAGGUCCUCCUGUUCAGACAUUCCUAUGUUGAAUAAAGUAUGUUUGACUCCCCCAGAGAA
rnacentral:sRNA from 1 species